AAGUCGAGCGAAUGGAUUGAGAGCUUGCUCUCAAGAAGUUAGCGGCGGACGGGUGAGUAACACGUGGGUAACCUGCCCAUAAGACUGGGAUAACUCCGGGAAACCGGGGCUAAUACCGGAUAAUAUUUUGAACUGCAUGGUUCGAAAUUGAAAGGCGGCUUCGGCUGUCACUUAUGGAUGGACCCGCGUCGCAUUAGCUAGUUGGUGAGGUAACGGCUCACCAAGGCAACGAUGCGUAGCCGACCUGAGAGGGUGAUCGGCCACACUGGGACUGAGACACGGCCCAGACUCCUACGGGAGGCAGCAGUAGGGAAUCUUCCGCAAUGGACGAAAGUCUGACGGAGCAACGCCGCGUGAGUGAUGAAGGCUUUCGGGUCGUAAAACUCUGUUGUUAGGGAAGAACAAGUGCUAGUUGAAUAAGCUGGCACCUUGACGGUACCUAACCAGAAAGCCACGGCUAACUACGUGCCAGCAGCCGCGGUAAUACGUAGGUGGCAAGCGUUAUCCGGAAUUAUUGGGCGUAAAGCGCGCGCAGGUGGUUUCUUAAGUCUGAUGUGAAAGCCCACGGCUCAACCGUGGAGGGUCAUUGGAAACUGGGAGACUUGAGUGCAGAAGAGGAAAGUGGAAUUCCAUGUGUAGCGGUGAAAUGCGUAGA
rnacentral:rRNA from 1 species